rnacentral:lncRNA from 1 species
GAUGACUCCAUGUCUGGAAAUACUGUGUGGGGUGAAUAAUUUAAAGAAAAAUUCCAUUUGUAUUAGUCAAAACUAUAAUGGCUUAUAAUUGCUUAUGAGAAAAAGAGAACAGUGUUGGUUGAUAAUGUUGAGUGUCUAAGCUGGGACUAAGAUGGUGUCCUGAGACAUGUUUUAUGUUGCAGGUAAAACAAAGUAAAUACCCAGUGUGGAGAGAAGAGUUUCUCAGCUGGCCAGUGAACCCAAGACUUAUGAAGUUACUGUGAUCAAAAAUAAAGUCAUUUGAACUCUGAUAGAGAAAAGAUACAUUUAAACUGGCCAUCCUGCAUACAUAUAUUAUA